CAGCUCAGGACGAACGCAGGCGGCGUGCGUAAUACAUGCAAGUAGAACGCUUCUUUCCUCCCGAGUGCUUGCACUCAAUUGGAAAGAGGAGUGGCGGACGGGUGAGUAACACGUGGGUAACCUACCCAUCAGAGGGGGAUAACACUUGGAAACAGGUGCUAAUACCGCAUAACCGUUUAUGCCGCAUGGCAUUAGAGUGAAAGGCGCUUUCGGGUGUCGCUGAUGGAUGGACCCGCGGUGCAUUAGCUAGUUGGUGAGGUAACGGCUCACCAAGGCCACGAUGCAUAGCCGACCUGAGAGGGUGAUCGGCCACACUGGGACUGAGACACGGCCCAGACUCCUACGGGAGGCAGCAGUAGGGAAUCUUCGGCAAUGGACGAAAGUCUGACCGAGCAACGCCGCGUGAGUGAAGAAGGUUUUCGGAUCGUAAAACUCUGUUGUUAGAGAAGAACAAGGACGUUAGUAACUGAACGUCCCCCGGACGGUAUCUAACCAGAAAGCCACGGCUAACUACGUGCCAGCAGCCGCGGUAAUACGUAGGUGGCAAGCGUUGUCCGGAUUUAUUGGGCGUAAAGCGAGCGCAGGCGGUUUCUUAAGUCUGAUGUGAAAGCCCCCGGCUCAACCGAGGAAGGGUCAUUGGAAACUGGGAGACUUGAGUGCAGAAGAGGAGAGUGGAAUUCCAUGUGUAGCGGUGAAAUGCGUAGAUAUAUGGAGGAACACCAGUGGCGAAGGCGGCUCUCUGGUCUGUAACUGACGCUGAGGCUCGAAAGCGUGGGGAGCAAACAGGAUUAGAUACCCUGGUAGUCCACGCCGUAAACGAUGAGUGCUAAGUGUUGGAGGGUUUCCGCCCUUCAGUGCUGCAGCAAACGCAUUAAGCACUCCGCCUGGGGAGUACGACCGCAAGGUUGAAACUCAAAGGAAUUGACGGGGGCCCGCACAAGCGGUGGAGCAUGUGGUUUAAUUCGAAGCAACGCGAAGAACCUUACCAGGUCUUGACAUCCUUUGACCACUCUAGAGAUAGAGCUUUCCCUUCGGGGACAAAGUGACAGGUGGUGCAUGGUUGUCGUCAGCUCGUGUCGUGAGAUGUUGGGUUAAGUCCCGCAACGAGCGCAACCCUUAUUGUUAGUUGCCAUCAUUUAGUUGGGCACUCUAGCGAGACUGCCGGUGACAAACCGGAGGAAGGUGGGGAUGACGUCAAAUCAUCAUGCCCCUUAUGACCUGGGCUACACACGUGCUACAAUGGGAAGUACAACGAGUCGCUAGACCGCGAGGUCAUGCAAAUCUCUUAAAGCCUCUCUCAGUUCGGAUUGCAGGCUGCAACUCGCCUGCAUGAAGCCGGAAUCGCUAGUAAUCGCGGAUCAGCACGCCGCGGUGAAUACGUUCCCGGGCCUUGUACACACCGCCCGUCACACCACGAGAG
rnacentral:rRNA from 1 species